ACAUGCAAGUCGACGGGAUGAGAGCUUGCUUUCCAUGAGAGUGGCGCACGGGUGCGUAACACGUAUGUAACCUACCUUCACCAGGGGGAUAGCCUCUCGAAAGAGAGAUUAAGACCGCAUAACAUUAUGGAAUAGCAUUAUUUAUAAUCAAAUAUUUAUAGGGUGAAGAUGGGCAUGCGGAACAUUAGCUAGUUGGUAAGGUAACGGCUUACCAAGGCUACGAUGUUUAGGGGAUCUGAGAGGAUGACCCCCCACACUGGUACUGAGACACGGACCAGACUCCUACGGGAGGCAGCAGUAAGGAAUAUUGGUCAAUGGGCGGAAGCCUGAACCAGCCAUGCCGCGUGCAGGAAGACGGCCCUACGGGUUGUAAACUGCUUUUAUACCGGAAUAAACCUAUCUACGUGUAGAUAGCUGAAUGUACGGUAAGAAUAAGGAUCGGCUAACUCCGUGCCAGCAGCCGCGGUAAUACGGAGGAUCCAAGCGUUAUCCGGAUUUAUUGGGUUUAAAGGGUGCGUAGGUGGCCUGUUAAGUCAGGGGUGAAAGACGGUAGCUCAACUAUCGCAGUGCCCUUGAUACUGAUGGGCUUGAAUGAACUAGAGGUAGGCGGAAUGUGACAAGUAGCGGUGAAAUGCAUAGAUAUGUCACAGAACACCAAUUGCGAAGGCAGCUUACUAUGGUUUGAUUGACACUGAGGCACGAAAGCGUGGGGAUCAAACAGGAUUAGAUACCCUGGUAGUCCACGCCCUAAACGAUGAAUACUCGAUGUUGGCGAUAUACGGUCAGCGUCUAAGCG
rnacentral:rRNA from 1 species